rnacentral:rRNA from 1 species
GACGAACGCUGGCGGCGUGCUUAACACAUGCAAGUCGAACGGAAAGGCCCUGCUGUUGUGGGGUGCUCGAGUGGCGAACGGGUGAGUAACACGUGAGUAACCUGCCCUUGACUUUGGGAUAACUUCAGGAAACUGGGGCUAAUACCGGAUAGGAGCUCCUGCUGCAUGGUGGGGGUUGGAAAGUUUCGGCGGUUGGGGAUGGACUCGCGGCUUAUCAGCUUGUUGGUGGGGUAGUGGCUUACCAAGGCUUUGACGGGUAGCCGGCCUGAGAGGGUGACCGGCCACAUUGGGACUGAGAUACGGCCCAGACUCCUACGGGCGGCAGCAGUGGGGAAUAUUGCACAAUGGGCGGAAGCCUGAUGCAGCAACGCCGCGUGCGGGAUGACGGCCUUCGGGUUGUAAACCGCUUUCGCCUGUGACGAAGCGUGAGUGACGGUAAUGGGUAAAGAAGCACCGGCUAACUACGUG